GGGUCGUUAGCUCAAUGGUAGAGCUGCUGGCUUUUAACCAGUAGGUUGUAGGUUCGAAUCCUACACGACCCA
rnacentral:tRNA from 1 species